rnacentral:rRNA from 1 species
AUACGUAGGUGACAAGCGUUAUCCGGAUUUACUGGGUGUAAAGGGCGUGUAGGCGGUUUAGCAAGUCAGAAGUGAAAUUCCCGGGCUUAACUUGGGCGCCGCUUCUGAAACUGCUUUACUUGAGUGCUGGAGAGGAUAGUGGAAUUCCUAGUGUAGCGGUCAAAUGCGCACAUAUUAGGAGGAACACCGGUGGCGAAGGCGGAUAUCUAGACAAUAACAGGAAUUGAGGCGCGACAUCACGGAGUGAAAACAGGCUGAGAUACCCUGGUGCUACGUGCCAUACACGAUGAAUACAAGGUGUAGGGGGUAUCGCCGCUACCUGCGCCGCAGGUAACACAUUAAGGAUACACCCUGGGGCGUUCCGCCGUAAGGCGGAAGCUCAAAUGGAUUGAGGGGG